rnacentral:tRNA from 1 species
GCCGAGGUGGCGGAACUGGCAGACGCGCUAGCCUUAGGAGCUAGUGGGAGCAAUCCCGUGCAGGUUCAACUCCUGUCCUCGGCA